AGUGCUCACUCUUCUGUACCUGUAUAGACAGCCCUUUCUACUUUAGAAGUAGAGUCUUCAGAAGCUACGAGGCUCUGUCUUUUACCUCUCCACCAAUAAACUUACUAGAGCAUAUAUAAGACCUGCCUUACUUUAGGUUUGGCUGGGGUGUACACAAAAGAAAAGCCAUCUAAGGAAACUGAGUAGGAUCAGUGUCUCAUGGCACCAAAGCAGUUGUGAUUCUUAAGUCCUUGGUAUUUUAUAUUUUUCUGACAGCCAACUUGUGAAGACCAGUCACUCUAUAAGUUGGAUACAUGGGCAGAGGUAGAAAUGCUUCUCCAAAUUUCCAAAUUAUUCCUUGGUGCCAUGAAAGUGCUUGCUUCUGAGACAUACAUGCAUCUCUGUGUAAGCUCCCAACUCCCGAGAUUUAUCCUUUUUUUUUUUUUUUCUUUUUUUCUUUUUCCUUCUGGAGACCAGGCUCGCUGUAUACCCUGGCUGUCCCAGAAUUCACUGUGUAGACCAAACUGGCUGUGAAAUCAAUAAGUAGCCAAAGCUAGGGUUAGAUGUGAUCCAUCAUAUGCUUUUUUCUCUGAUCAGAUUGUUUGAAUGCUAUUAGGCUUAGUGACCAUUUUCUAGAACUAAAAGGAAGAUGUUCCUUCCAGUCCCAAAUUUGAUAAUCUGCUUUUGCCUGAAAGUUGCAUUGGCAUUAUCUGGGUAUGCAGAAUUCCAUGUUUAAAGCAGCCCCCAGGACUGGAGAGAUGGCUCAGUGGUAAAGAGGGCAAAGUGUUAUUUUAGGGGGCCUGAGUUCAAGUCCCAGCACCCACACUGGGGGGCUCACAGCUGCUAUCUCUCCACCUCUAGGGAAUCCAACAUGGCCUCUAAGAGUGCUUGUACAUGCUCACACACCCUGAGGCACAGACAUACCCAGACACAUGAUUAAAAAAUAAAAUCUUAAGGUAGGCUUGUUUGGUUGGUUUGGUUUUGGGUUGUUGUUAGUUUUGUUCAAGACAGGGUCUCACUAUGUAUGUAGACCAGGCUGGCCUCAAACUCAUAGAUGUCCACCUGACUGCCUGGACUAAAAGCGCUCUCCAUCAUACAUGAUGUUUGAAUACCUGCUGCAGUUUUUAAGAAAAGGCCUCACUAUUUAGCUCUGACUGGCAUGGAACUCACAGAUACUUGCCUGCCUCUCCCAAGUGGCUGGGAUUCAGGAAUAUAGCUUUUGUUCACUGAAGACCAGUAAUAGUCUCUAUGUGAUUGAAGAGAUGACUUAGUGGUUAAGAACACUUUCUGCUCUUGGAGAGAACCCAGGUUCAGUAAACUUAAGAACCACACAGUAGCUCAUAACUGUGUUACUCCAGUUCCAGAUGAUCCAACGCACUCUUGACCUCCUCAGGUAACAGGCAUGUACAUGGUGCACACACAUACAUGUAGGUAAUUACUCAUAAAUUAAACUUUAAAAAAAGAAAGAAAAUGGGCUUGGUGAAACAUGCAUUUAAUAUCAGCUCGAAGGCUAGCAUAUCUCUGGGAAUUCAAGGCCAGCCUGGUCUACAUAUUGAGUUCCAAGCCCAGAGCUACAUAGUGAGACCUCAUCUCAAAACAAAAGGGAUAGGGGCUAGAUGUGGUGUCACACAGCGGUAAUUCGGUAAUUCUAACACUGGGGAAACUUUUUUUUUUCUUGGUUUUUUUGAAACAGGGUUUCUCUGUAUAGUCCUGGCUCUCCUGGAUCUCACUCUGUAGACCAUGCUGGCCUGGAACUCAGAAAUUUGCCUGCCUCUGCCUUGCAAGUGCUGGGAUUAAAGGCAUAUGCCACCACUGCCCGGCAACACUAGGGAAACUUAAGGCAAGAGGUUCAGGAAUUCAGGGCCAGCUGUAGGUGCAUGGUUAGUUUGAGGCCAGCUUGGGUUACAUGAUAGCCUGUCAAAGCUAGAGAGAAAAUAAUGGCUUCAGAUGAGACUUUAAAGUCUGAAUUUUUACUUGUAUAUGUGUGGUGUGUGCAUAUGUGUGCAGGUUGCAUAUGCAUGCAGAGGCCAUAGAGGUCAGGUGUCUUUCUCUUUUGCUUUCCACCUUGUCUUUUGAGACAGGGUCUUACUGAAGCCAGAGCUGACAUUUGAUUAGCUAGCAAGCUCUGAGGAGCAAAACUCUGGUUCUCAUGUUUGGUGAUCAACCACUUUACCUACUAAAUGAUCUCCCUAAUCCGAAAUUUUUAUUAUUCUUGAAAAAAAAAAGGUGGGUGUGGCACCUCAUAUUUGUAAUCCCAACACUUAGAGGGCCGAAGCAGAAAGAUUGCUGAGAGUUCACUGCCAGCCAGGACCACACAGCAAAUUCUAGGUCAGCGUAUAUCACAGUGAGACUCUACUUGCUUCUGUUUUCUGGUUGUUGUUGUUUUUUGAAACAUAGACUCUCUGUGUAACCCUGGCUGACCUGGAACUUCCUUUGUAGACCAGGUUGGCUUCAACCUCACAGAAAACCUUCCUCUGCCUCCUGGGUGCUGGGAAUAAUGAUGAGCACCACCUUGGUCAGCACAGUGAGGACUCAUUAAAAAGGAGAAAAGAAAAGAAAUAAAAAAACAUUGGCACUGCUUUUGGGAACUGGAAAAAUCAUAUUAGGUUUUUAAAAAUUUACUACCAGCUUCCUGUAGCAGCUCAGCCUUUGAGGUUUGUUGGUGUGUAAAGGUUUGUCAUAGAACUAGAGUUGCUGUCCCAUGUCAUUAGAUAAUUUUUCAUAAUUGAAUUUCUUCUUUAUAAGCAAAACUCAAGAAAAGGGUUAUUUUACUUUAACAAAAAUAAAACUGUCUUUCUGAGGCAGAAUCUAGUGUAGACCAGACUGGACUCAAACUCAGUAGGUAAUUGGGGAUGGCUUUGAACUCCUGAUCUUGCCUCCACUUAAAAUUCCAAGCACAGGAAUGAAAGGUUUAGCACUAUGACCCAUUUGGAAGUUGCUGGGAGAUGCUAGGGAUUGAGCCUAAGGACUCCUGCGGAUUCCACAUAAUGAACUAAAUCUGGAACUAUUGGGAAGAUUUGCAAAAGUUAAAUUACUGAUCUGUCUAAAACUCAGCCUUUGUAUCUUCAAUAAGAACCCAAAUGGUGCUGGGUCUAGUAGUGCACACCUUUAGUCCCUGCUCUCAGGAAGCAGAGGCAGAUACAGAUCUCUUGAGUUUUAAGGCCAGCCUGGUGUAUCUAGAAAGUUCCAGGACAGCCGGGGCUACAUAGUGAAAUCCUGUCACAAAACAAUAAACAAAACAAAUCAAGAAUCCAAGUGGUAGUCAUUCAAUAUUCUAAGACAUUCUGAUCAAUGACUCAACUUUUGUUUUCCAGAUCAUUUGUCUUCUUCUACCUGCAAAGUAUAGCUGUCUUUUACCCUUUGGUCAGCAGCUCCAAUAUUAUUUCAGAGUCUAAAUUUAAUAUUUUCCUUAAAUACUUUACUGAGCCAGACAUGGUGGGUCACACCUCUAAUCCUAGCACUUGAGAGGAGGCAGGAGGACAGGCAUUGAAGGCCAGCUUUAGCUCCACAGUUCUGAGCCAUGGGAGACCUUUGUCUUAAAACAAAUUUAAAAGUUGCUUUUCUGAGCCAAGCUUAAUACAUGCCAUGCUGCUGGGAAGGGAAGGGAAAAGAUUUUUGGAGUCUAGAAAUUGAGAUCAGCCUGGGCACAAUAAAGUACAUUAAUACAUGGGGGUGUGUGUGUGGUGCACUUUGGAGACAAACACAUGUGAAUCGCUGUAAGUUCAAGCAUAAUUCUGUCUACAUAGUGAGUUGUCCAGGCCAGGAAGGGCUACAUAGCAAGACCCUGUUUCAAAACC
rnacentral:lncRNA from 1 species